rnacentral:lncRNA from 1 species
UCCGUGUAGAUCUUCCCUUGGUGGCGCUUGCAUCUUCACAUGGCAUAAGAUCGAAGGAUCCUAUGAACCCAGGCCGUCAUGAACGGUCAUCCACCCCGCCGGAGGUAGGAAGCCGGAGUGUGGUCUGUUGUGUUGCUUGUGAAUUUUCGCUCAUGACAUCUAUUUUCUUGUGCAGAUUGGUAUUGCUUGCAUGUUCACAGGACCAUGGACCGAGGAUUUCCUGAACACGAUGAACAUCCUAGGUUUUCGAUGUGAGCCAAUGGUUCUUCCAAUUCAUCUCCUAUUUUGCGGAUAGAAACCACGCUAGAUUUUUUUCGCCGGCAGAUCUGAUUCGGACCCACAGUACUUCUCUAGCCCUGCUGUGUCUUCUCAUUCUCUACCCAUCGUUCUUCCUCCUUGGCUUUGAAUCUGCCACGAUGACCACCAGACUGUCUCUCCGCACGAGUCAGUAUAGUCGUGUUCACCAUCAAUUUUCAGUCAUAACCUUAUCCCGCUCAUGUUGUUUUCCUUCGUCUUCUCUAUAUUAUUUCAGUUUUUAUUUCCACUGAUAUUCCUCUGAUAUGUACUUUCCCCCCACUGCAGGUUUGUUUUCCUCGCUCUACGCGGGGAGAUCUCAUUCUGACCCUGCCCUAGCUCUGUUCUCUACAAACCCUGACCUACUGCUGCCGUUUUGGGGCUGCUACCGAAGUUUCUGUUCAUGACAGUUCCAGAAGAUAAGUUCACUGCUUGCAGGUAAUUAGAGUCCCCUUUGAAGUAUUUAUCCCCCUCUUUCCUCUAUUAUCUUGAAGUACUUUAACAUUUUACUUGCCAAGGCGUGCAUUGGAUGGUUCUAUUCCCUUUAUGAUUCCAUAUACAAUAUGUUGAUUGCUUUUGUGGUGAAUCAUGCGAAGGAUUUAAUUUGCGUUCAGCCACACAAAAAAGCCCGGUCCUAUAGGUACGACCGUGCAAAUUCCCCUAUUAGUAAUUUAGUACCAUCUCAACAAAGGUUGUGUGUGCCGAGUGACCGAUGAAAUACACUUGGCAAACUACUUGGCACUAGGCAAAAUAAGUGAUUCCGGCGAUACUGUUUACUAGCGAGCGUCCAUUUUGAACUGGGUACGAGCUUAACAGAUUUAAGAAGCGGUUAGAUCAAACGCCAGCUUGGAGUAGACUUAAAGAAAAUCCAGUAUAUUGUGAUGACCGUGGUCGUGCAGACUUCAACCAAUAUAAAACUGCUCCAGUAUUAGAUUUACGAGCAUAUUUUAAGAACUCGAACUUAUUACUAGUACCCCAAGUGUGGUGGUGGUAUGUCAAACAACAGCAGUAAAACAACAUCAGAUCAAUAUGCAAACCGUAUCAAACAAUCACUAGGCUUCACGCCGCGGGCAUGCUCUUAUGUAUGCUUGCACCAGAUGGCUGGAACCUUUUCCUUUCCUUUUUUGCAAGUCGUGUAAAUUUGCGAUCUAAUUCCGCAAGACAUUAAGUAGUGGUCAAGGGGAUCCAAAGGGUGAGAGAGAUGAUAGCAUAGCAUUCCACUCCUAGGAAACGGAAUCUUAUUAUGUGCUUCAAGAUCUAGCAGCCACAACCACAACCACGCCGUAUGAAUGUUGAUCACCGUUACUGCUCGUACGUGGGUACUAGUGAGAUUUUUGGAAAAUACCCCACGGACCCUCGCAAUCUUUAUCCCUGCCAUCUCACUGUUGCCGUCUUUACUCUCUAAGUGACAUGUCAAUCUACUGGCUUGCUCGGUAUGCUGACUGGUUCUUGCGGAAGCAUGGCGAUGAUACGGUCGAUGCACGGAGACGAUUAAUUGAAGUGACGAAGGGGCCCACAGCCCAAAUGCCCGUUUAAAUUAUGCACGGUAGUUGGUAGUACUUGCAUAGGAGCCAUGAAGACAAUCUCGGGGCCAGAGAGGGUCCUGUUGGUUUGUUUUCAAAACUUUUGCGAAGGGAAAGAUCCAAGGAGCAAAUGGAGUACAGGGCGUUCCCUUUGUUCUGUUUUGCAAGAGCUGGCAAGUGUGACUGUGUGGGCCGGCAAGCGUUGCGUUGCGUCGCCUCCUCUCUUUCUGCCUCCUCAUUUCGAUGCGAUAUCAACCCUUGCUGGGCUCUUCCUCGAACGGGUUGUUGUGUAACAGGUGAGUAGGGCCCAGUAGAACGCAUGUGAAUUUGCUCAUCAACUUGAUGGAUUAAUUUUAAGAUAUAUGACAUCCCUAUUAGAGGAGGCACCUAUUCUUCCAUCAAAUAUUCUGCUUUUUCUUGGGUACUCGGGUUCAAGUACCUAUUGAUUUUUUGUUUCUUCACUAGCUUCACAUAAUCCUGAAAACACAAGUUUUCUCCAAGCCUCUUGCGCACAUCUCUGAUUGAAGGGUACUAUUCUAUAAUGUUUCUUUAGUAGACCCCCCUGCUAAUCUGAGCGAGUUUUCAUAUACUGUAUACACAAAUACAUGAUUCACUAUACCCGCUUUUGAAAUAAAGACUAGAUAACCUCUUCUCACCUGAAUAUCCAAAUACAAAGUGGUAAGAAACAAAUUUUAAUUAAUGAGAAGAAUCAAUGGAUUCAUGAUUAACCUCUCUGCUGGUUCUCCCCGAAAUGCGUUGAGGCGCAACAGUUGACUGGACAUCUAGGGGUAAAGCACUAUUUCGGUGUGGGCUGCGCAAGCGGUACCAAAUCGAGGCCAUUUCAAAAAUCAAAACAAUCGGGACUACUUGUAUUUCUGCAAUUUUGGUUCCGCACUCGUUUUGGGAGAUGAAGACGCAGUGGUAAAGCUGCUGCCUUGUGACCAUGAGGUCGCUGGUUCAAGUUCUGGAAACAGCUUCUUACUAUAGACCCAAAGUGGUCGGACCCUUCCCCGGACCCUGCGCAAGUGGGUGCUACAUGCACCGGGCUGCCCUUUUUAUUCAUUUUGGGAGAUAGAGGACGGACAUCCCACAUCAAGGGCAUCUCCAACGUCGACCCUCAAACCGUUCGCAUACGUUCGGACCGCGCUAGCCGGACGUGUUGUGCCAUCCAAAUGCACUUUCUCCCGCGAACCAGAGUCAAACAUGGGGGGAGUAGUAGUGCUUUGCGAGGCGUCCGGACCGCUGCCACGCCUGCGUGUGACCGCCCUGGCCCACCCGAACCACCUUCCUCGCCCACGCGCGCUUCUUGCCCGAAACAGUCUGCGCUACUCCAGAGUGUCAGUGCCACAUUCAUGCCCAGCUAGAGUGGACAUGAUCUCUCACUGGUGCCGGCAUUGAAGUGGCGCCGACCGAGAGAGGAGCGCCUGCGCCGCUUCUCGGUGUGCGCGACGGCUCCACGUUCAAACGACACCACGGCCGCCCGUCUGUCCAUUUGUCGCCCACAUUAAUGACACCGCCCACAACCUUCAUCUCCUCCAGGAGCACCAGCAGGCGGAGGAGCAGCUCAAUGCCCGUAGGGAGAUCGCGUCGGACGCGGAUGUGGCGGAGCAGGCGGCGCUGCAUGAGUCCUAUCGCUCCGCCCGUGAGAUCCCCCUCGCCCGCUGGCGGUAGCGCCAACGUUAGGCGGAACUGGAGGCUGCCUACCAAGAGUUUGACGAGGCAGCAAACGAGGUGUGGGGCAAGACAAGCGAGGAGGAGGACAUCGCCGGCUCCGCCCCGGCUGCGCCCCUCCACCACGACCACGAAGCCGAUACGUCAACGGGCACCGCCAAUAGUGAGGAAGAGUAGUGCAUGGUAGGUCCCCGUUGCUCGGGUCCGAAGAAGGCGACCACUCCUUCCCUCCCGUUGAAGCCAAGCUUGGUGGGCUAAACAUCGUCGGUCGAUUAGCCGCUUGGCGACGACAUGGAGGAGGACGACUUCACUUCUCGACGCUCCGAAGGCAGAGGUUAUGGAGGCGGAACUGGAGAAGGCGAAGCUUCAGUUCUCGGGGCUCAUGCCUGGACACGGGAAUGGGCGUCGGCGAUCAUUUAGAUUAGGUAAACUAGCACAUAUGCCCGAUUGUUGCAACGGAAGAAAAAAUAAUAUGCAUUUAAAGUUAGUGAGAAUUAUAUGUGCAAGCAAAACCCUGUGUACACGUGAAAAAUGAACAUUUAGCUUCUCGGUUUCGCUGGGUGUGAAGUAAUCAAUCCGCUAUCUUUUCAAUCAUUGAUUGAGGACAUUUAAGAGUUUUGUUAUGUCAUCGUACGCCAGAGAAGGCCCAUGAAUUAUUCAAUCUAAUUUCCCUUUCAACCCAGGAGAUUUGAAGGUAUGAAGUUUCUGAUAUUGUAGGAAUAUGAACCAUUUUUUAAAUCUUAAAUAUGAUUUCGAAAAUUAUGUACAUUUUCAGAAAAAUAGGAGCAAAAUUUGAAACAUGAACAUCUUUUCAAAUUCAUGAACAUUUUUUGAAAAAGCAAUUUGAAAAAAAACAUGGACAUUAUUUGAAUUUGUGAACAUUUUAUUUAUAAUGGGAACAUGUGUUGAAAAUUCAUAACAUUUUUUGAAAAUAUUUAUCUUUUAUAGGCGAACAUUAUUUUGAAUUGUGAAAAUUUCACUAAACCAAGAAUAUAUUUUGAAUUUGGAGCAUUUCUUAAAUGCCAUUUUCUUUUUCAAAAUAUUGAACUAUUUUGAAAAACAAUAAAAAAAUAGAACAGGAAACCUUUUUCAAGUUCCAAAUAUUUUUUUAAAUAUCAACAAAAUAUUGGAAUUCUGAACAUUUUCCAAAAUUUGUUUUUUUAAUUCUAAACUUUUUUGAGAGUUUUGAAUUUAUGAAAUAAAUUCUGUAAGAAAAAUUAACAUGGAAGGGAAAAAAAAUAUAGGAGGAGGAAAUAAAAAUAGAAGUAGAACAUAGAAACAAAGAAAAAUGGGCCAGCCCAUUAUUGGUUGUCCUGGGCGAAGGUCCUAUUAUUUGCCGCUCUGUGCGGGAAAUAGAAAUUUCCGAGCUGUGUUGGCAGAAAAAUAAGUGGGCUGGCUUCGCUGGGCCACAGCGCGUGGCCUAUGUACGAAAUUCUAGAAAAGCUUUUUUUAGCAGAUAAAUGCAUAAAAAUUUAAUACCACCUCGGAUAAAAAAUCUUUUGGAUGGAUGGUGAAGGAUAAAAAAAUUAACGAAACACACCAUGCUUUAUUAUUAUUAGGUAUUAGGUAUAGAUUAAUGGUGCGUGCAGAGCUGGACGAGCAACGCUUUUAGUUAAAAGUAUGUCCAAACUGUAAUGAAUUCCGUCAUGUUUAUUUGAAAUCCGCCGUGUUUGCAUGAAUCUCUUAUUGUUUUUUUGAAAAUCCGGUCAUGUUUACAUGAAUUUUAUCUGGUUGUACGGAUAGUAGUUGAAAUGUAACGUUGGAUGGCCAUCUUCUGUAUCCGUGUCCACGGACUGGUUUGCUCCCUCAUCGUGUCGAUGGAUCUAAUACCUGCAUCUUCUCAGAUGUCGUUCUGGGGCGAUUGGAACAAGGGAGGGGGGUCUGGCCACAAGGUGAUUUUGGCUGCAGAGUUCAGUUCCUUGGUCGAUUUUAGGAUUUUUAUCUUUAGAUUGUUGUUCUCUCCUUACACCUGUCUUCUGAUAUGAAUUUGUGCAGCCUCUCUACUGGCUUGGAGCUGGGAAUCUGAAUCUGGAUAAAGAGCCUACUCUGGACGAACUGGAUGUGGAGAAUGUGGGGAAGCUGUCCACCGUCUGGAGAGGUUGAGUCAAUGUUCAGGUCAAAUCUAGAUGCCUAUGCAUUUUUGUUACUGCUAUCCAUAGCAAUUUGAUUAUUUUCAUUUUGUAAUGGUUAUUUGUGUUUGUGUUUGCAGGAACUGGAGGAGUUCCUCCCCCCUCCUCCGGAGGAGUUGACUGUUGGCAGGGAUGAGGUUACCGUGAGAGAUGUUGGUACUUACUGGGGCAAGUGCAGGGAGGGGUCCAUACUGAGAAGAUGGUAAAAUUUUGGGCGUAAUUAAAACAAAGAUUGUCUAUUGGAGCUUAUGGCGGGCCAUUUUGAUUUACAUUCCAUUCUCUAGUUUGUUUGUUGUUUAGACUGUACAUAUACCAGCACGAAUUAGAUACAACCUGUGACUGGCAUUUAAUAUUGCUUUGAAUGUCAUGGCUUUUUGUGACUAGAUUGAGAUACACUGGAUAGAGGUUAUUUCUACGGUUUUUCUUGCUAUUUUACAGUCAAAUGUAAUAUUAUGGGGUCUUCAUUCAAGUUUUCGCCUACUGUAUUUAUCUUUGGCGCUGUAUUUAUCUUACCAG